rnacentral:rRNA from 1 species
GACUAAACUGUCUCUUACGGAUAUUCAAUGAAAUUGAUCUUUCAGUCCAAAAGCUGAGAUACCUACACCAGACGAGAAGACCCUGUGGAGCUUCCUAAACCAAUAUCAACCCCUAUGAUUAUGCGGUUUUUAGUUGGGGCGACUUCGGAGAACAAAAAAACCUCCAACUUGGAAAUUUUCCUAAUUAAGAUCUACACAUCUAAAUAUACAACUUGACCCAGUAGGCAUUAUCCCUAUCUGACCAAGGAACCAAGUUACCCCAGGGAUAACAGCGCUAUCCUCUUUUAGAGUCCCUAUCGACAAGAGGGCUUACGACCUCGAUGU